AUUGAACGCUGGCGGCAUGCUUUACACAUGCAAGUCGAACGGCAGCGCGGGCUUCGGCCUGGCGGCGAGUGGCGAACGGGUGAGUAAUGCAUCGGAACGUGCCCAGUAGUGGGGGAUAGCCCGGCGAAAGCCGGAUUAAUACCGCAUACGACCUGAGGGUGAAAGCGGGGGACCGAAAGGCCUCGCGCAAUUGGAGCGGCCGAUGUCGGAUUAGCUAGUUGGUGGGGUAAAGGCUUACCAAGGCGACGAUCCGUAGCUGGUCUGAGAGGACGACCAGCCACACUGGGACUGAGACACGGCCCAGACUCCUACGGGAGGCAGCAGUGGGGAAUUUUGGACAAUGGGGGCAACCCUGCUCCAGCCAUGCCGCGUGCGGGAAGAAGGCCUUCGGGUUGUAAACCGCUUUUGUUCGGGAAGAAAUCCUCUGGGCUAAUACCCCGGGGGGAUGACGGUACCGGAAGAAUAAGCACCGGCUAACUACGUG
rnacentral:rRNA from 1 species